ACGUAGGGGGCGAGCGUUGUCCGGAUUUACUGGGCGUAAAGCGCGUGUAGGCGGUACUCUAAGUCCGGGGUGAAAUCCGGGGGCUUAACCCCCGAACGGCGCCGGAAACUGGAGCGCUUGAGUGUCGGAGAGGGGAGUGGAAUUCUCGGUGUAGCGGUGAAAUGCGUAGAGAUCGAGAGGAACACCCGUGGCGAAGGCGGCUCCCUGGCCGAACACUGACGCUGAGACGCGAAAGCGUGGGGAGCGAACGGGA
rnacentral:rRNA from 1 species